GGCAGGCCGCCGCCUAAUCACCGUGAGGUGAGCCGGGGAACCAAGUCAGUGGGGUGAGUCCGCCUUCGGGCGGUAGGGAUUGCUUCCGUCCCGAACCCGUCAGCUAACUCGGUCGGCGGUGACUAGGAAGGAACU
rnacentral:sRNA from 2 species